CUGACAGACACUGAGCCACUGGAGCUGUGACGACACGAGGAGACAACGCGUCAUUUCCUUCGGAGUGAGCGCAACAGCGGCACAGUUCUGAGGCUCAGACAGCCCAUCACUGGAUGUUGCUGUUGUCAUCCGUGCCAUUUGCCUCCGACAUAUUCAUCUUCCCCAUGGAGUGACCCACGUGGUUCACCCCGUCCUUGCGAGGUGGCAUGCGCUCGUUGAUGCGGUCCAGGCCCUUGGCCUCUGCAAAGCUGGUGAUCUUGUGCUGGGGGGAAAAGCCACGGAUCGCUGAAAAGAGAAGACACAUAAAAAGCAAGUGUGUGACCCAAGAGCGACAAGAUCAUGAUCCCUCACCAGCUUCCCUCCCUGGAAAUACUGUCGACUGCCAAAAGAUGCAGUGGAAUCGUGACCGCGAACAUUAAAACAGGAAUAACAUAAAUCAGCACGGUUGAUUAUAUUCCACAUCUCCUGGUCCCUGGUGCUGAUGCUGGGCUUCGAAUCGGAUUGUUGAUCAACAUCAAAGCUCCUGCAGCCCACUAUACCACCACACACACAAUAAUGAACGACAUGGAAAUAAAGGCCAUGUUCUGCCUUAACCGCAAGGAGCAGGGAACACUUGAGAUGUUAUGUAAUAUCUGCACAGCCAGCACCAGGGAAGAAGAUGUGGGCGAACUUACAUUUCACCAUCCGAUCGGUGGCGUUUAAGACGAUGUCAGCGUUAGACAUCUUCAUGGGCAGUU